GGCGCCGAGUGUCUCCGUGUCCCUCUGCCCCAGCCGGCGGCCGCGAUGGUGGAGCUUGGCCUCUCGCUCUCUCCCGCCUCUCCAGCGACUGCUCUGCCGGCCGCGGAGGUCGGAUCGAGCGGUCAUUCAUUCAUUUGUUAAUUCGUUCACUUAUUCAGGGGAGAUCAUUGAACCCCUACGGAGUACCGGGUACUGGGCCGGGCGCUGAGGACGCGGGGCUGAGCAAAAGCAGCCGAGGCCCACCUUCGUGCCCCUUAAAACCCAGCGUGCGGGGCGGCAACGAGUACUGCUUUUCUGUUUUGCACUUAAAAUUUACAUUUUGCAUCCGUACUUUUUAUUUACUGUGCACCCUUACGGCAUGCUUUACGCACCCGUACCUGCACCUCCUAGCCUUGAGUGUAGACACCAGAUCCUGAGAUGGGCGAUUUUUCGAGAAUAAUUUUUACCCUAAGUGGAUUUUCGUGCCACGCAUGGACUUGGAACUACACACACGUAGUCCAAAACGUGAAAGUCAAAAUGCAGCUUUGCCAAGUGGCAGGGAGAAAGGAGAGCUGAGAAGAUGAGGAGAGGAAGGGCGCGCUCCAGGCUUUCCAGCCCGGGUGCGGUAGACGUAGCCCUGAAGGAUGAACCCAGGCUGGUAGUAGGGCGGCGGGAGGGCGGGGGGACCUGUCAGUCAAGUCCAAAGCAGAAACGCGGCGCCGGAUCCCAGUCAGAGGCCGGCUGGAACGCUUCCCACAGGCUCCUGGCGCUCCGGUCCCCACCAGGCGACCUUGAUCCUGGCGUGCUCAGCGGAGCCAGCGCAGCGUCGGGAGCUGGAGAGACGCGGGGCGCCGGCUGAGCGCUCCUGCCCUCUGCCUCUGGGCUAGCCUCUGGCCCGGCCUCCCGGCCUCCCCCAGGGUACGCUCUCCCCCAAGAGCGAACACCAGCUUUGGGAUCGCCAGCAGCCACGUCUCUGCUUCUAGAUCUCUUUUUUUUUUCUUUGAGACUUAGUUGAUAGCUGUUUAAGGAAUUAUGUGGAGGAAAUCUCACCUCCGACCCCCGCCCCCGUUGAGCACGGCCGGCCAGGGUCGCUGGGUGGGCCAGGAGGAAAGAAAGGGGCGGGGAAGAAGCAGCAAUUUUACUUUAAAUUAAAAUGACACAAAAAUAUUUUUUCAACUCAGAUCUUUCUGAGACAUCCCCAGAAAGCGUUGCAAGCUGUGAUUACACCUAAUGUGAGAGCAUGAACUAAUUUAAGAGGUGAGAGCUGCAUAAUGAGGCUGCCUCCCGUGUAGCAGCCAAGACUGGCAGCUCUGGCGGCGCGCUGGAGGGGACCGGGAGGGGCACCCUUGUAGAACCAGUCCCUGGCGCCCUGGGAUCUUCUCAGUGCCCUGGCGCUGUGUUGUCGGUCACUCCACAGAUAUUACAGGGUGCCUCCUGAAUGCCGGGUUGCAAUCAAGAGCAAGAGAUGGGGCGAGUGAAAGAGCCUGUUUUCAGGAGCUCAGCAUCAGGAUGACGAUUACCUAGAGGGAGGUGGUGGCCAGCCUCCCCCUCUUCUCUUCAUGCUGAGGCUCUGGUGGGCAGUGCCCAAGCCUGAACUGCCAUCUGUAUGCCAGUGGUUACCCAACUUGUAUUUUCAGUCUUAGCCUCUCUCUGGUCCAGACUUGUCAUUCUAAGGGCCCUUUUUCACUGACUCACAUUGUCUCCUCCCUCCCUGCCUUCCAAACUCAGCCUUUUCCUUUUUCCCUUUCCCACUGACAACAGCUGCACGACCCCCCCGCCCCCCCACGAGGUGAAAAUUCCCAAGAACCCCAUGUCUAACCUAACUCCCUCUCUAUGUCCUGUUGCUUGAGCCAUUCUCAUUAGGCUGCCUGUUCGGAGUUCAUUAUCUCCUAAUUUUUCAUCCAGGAAUUGAUGAAGAAUCACCUACUGCCUCUCCCACACACUGUUUAUUCUUUCAUUUGAUGAUAUCUGUUAAGUGCCCUGAGAUAUGUAACCUCCACUUCCCUCCCAUAUAAGUGAGAUUUCACGUUGAUUACUUCCUUGGCUUUCCUCAUCCCUUAUCCACAUAGCAUGUGUUCAAAAUAAUGAAUAUUAAUUUAAUGUUAAUAGAUAUGUGCUUUCCUGAAUUGUGAGGAUUAAAUGAAAUCAUGUAUAUAGGGAGGAAAAUCCAUUAGAAACCUCAAAAGCAGUUAUGUUUAUUUUUGCUAUUGUCACAUUGUUAGAGUCAGAAUUCUUUUAGCUGCAAGUGACAAAACCAACUCAAACUGGCUUAAGGACUUUAUUGGUUGAUGCAAAAAGCCUCGGGUUAGGUCUUGCCAUUUAAGGUAGGGCUGGAUCCAUCAAUCCGGGUUACCAGGAUCUGUUUUCUAGUUGUGGCUUCAUUUUCAGACAAGUUGUUUCCAUAUGAUAGCCUCAUAGAAGGUACUACCAGCUUAGUCCUAGCAAGAAAAAAGAGUACUUACUCUUCAAUAUUUGCAGCAGAAGUCCCAGGUCUGUUCUUAUGAGGGCAGUUUGAGUCACUUGCUCUUCUCUGAACGUGGAGAAGGCACUGUUUAGAUGAUGGAGGUUGGAUUCAGGUGCAUCCCCUGGAAUGGGGUUUGGCAUUAGCUUCACGUGGUCUAGAAUAAAGGGGUUCUCCAAAGGAAAAUUAGGGUAGGAAUGCUGAGUAAGCAGAACAAACAGAUGUCUACUUUAGUCCUUCCCAAAGGGUGAGCUGCAAUACAUUGCAGACUAUCAGAAUGGUGAUGAACACGGAUGCAGUAGCCAAGAAAAUAGAUGUGUGUUUGUCGUGGUCUUUUUCAGUCUUCAAGAUCUCAGUUAAACAUGAAGUCAACCACUCACUAUGAUGUUAUUUGAGGUUUAGCUUUGAAGUGGAAAUGUACCACAAAUAGUAGAGCCAGAUAAAUACAAAUAAAUAAUUUUAACAGUCCAUUCUAAAAGAUUUCUUUGGUAAUAUUCUGUUGGAAUUGAUUUCUAUCUUUUCAUUUGUUAGGUUCCUGGAAAGUGAAAAUUUCAUUUCUUUGUGGACAGGUACCUAAAAUGUCUCAUUAUUCAUCAAUUAAUGAAAAACAAAUGAAAAUUUGAGAGAGAUAUUCUGAAGAAUAAAAGGAUCAAGUUGGGUCAUUUCUAAAAUCUCAGAGACCUAAUAGGAUGGGGUCUUAGAGAAACAUCUUUUGAGCCACAGACUUCUUUGUUACCAGAAGGAAAAUGAAAGAAGAAAUUUAAAUACCACUUGAAGAGAGGUGAGAACCCUUUGUUAAGCUGUGUAACCUCUGUGCAUAGUUUCCUCAUCAGCAAAGUCAGAAAAAGUAUGUACCUGAAGGACUGAUUGUAAGGCUGGGAUGAGAGAAUCCAUGUGAUCAGCCCUCACCAACAGGUGCUGCCCAGUUCAUGAGUGCUGCUGCUGUCCUGCCCAAGUACCCAGCUUGCAGAGUGCCAGAGUUAGAGUCCCAGGGGUGUUCUCCACAGCUGCAUGCUUGAUCCAGGCCUAUCAGAUAUAUUCCAUUGAAAGUCCUCAUUCUCAAAUUUAAAACAAAGACUUUUUGUGUACCUCAAUAGCAAUGCACACACAGUUGGCUUCACAAACAUAUUGUACAUUUCUUUUUUUCAUAUUUAUUCAACAAAUGUAUAUUGACUACCCACCGUGUGACAGGUGUUAUUUGUUGACGGAACCAGGCAUCAUCAGCAAACAAAACUGACAAAGCUUCCUGCCCUCUGUGGAAGGCAUCUGAGGAAGAGACUGGAUUUUGUAGCAACAUGUUAUUCUCAUUAUAAACUUUAUCAUUGGAAUACUAAAGCCAAAUCAUCCCCCAUCUCCUUGAUCAGGAUACCCACUUAAUCUAGGCAGCUACACAAUUGUGAGAGCCUUUGUUUUUUUCUGCUGAAACAUCCUUAAAAAGAUACCUCACAACCCAAGAUUUGGCUUUUCUUAAAUACGAUUUUUAAUUUUUUUCAUUUCUAUCUAGAGAUUUAAUUGGAAAUGGAAAAUCAUCAAUUUUCCAAUUAAAUGUCUGUUCCAAUCAACAUUAUACCUUUUAGGUUGUCAUUGUCAUUUUUAAGUUUAAGCAACUUUAAGGAUUUUGAAUCUGGCUGCCUGUAAAUUAAAGGUGAAAGUAAUCA
rnacentral:lncRNA from 1 species